GCGUGGGGAAACACAAAGUGAGCCGGCGGAUGUCUCCGGAGCCCCUCCAGGACAACAGCCUUCAGGUACGGUUUCUUCUGCAGGUCCUCCUCCUUCGUGAUCGCGCCAACUUCCUCCGCCAGUUUUUCCUGCACNNNNNNNNNNNNNNNNNNNNGGUAGGGUGCUUGACUACGUUCGCCAUUAUCCACUCCAGCGCCGUGGAGGUGGUGUCGGUGCCGGCGUUCAGGAACUCGGAGCAGAGAGUGAUGAUCUCCUCGUCGUUGAGCUUCCUCCCCUCCUCCUCGGGGAUCUCGAGGUCCAGAAGGGAAUCCAAGUAGGAGAAGCGGAAGCUGUUCUCCCCCGGGAACCUCGAUUCCUUCUGUUGGCGCCGAUAUCUGAUAAGAGGAAGCAAGAUCUCUCUCUGCUUCUGUCGGAGCUGGAGAAGACGGUUCCACCUCCCCUUGAACACAUACCUGGUGAUUCUGGGGACGAACUUGAAGACAUUUAGCUUCCCAAAGAAGCGUAGUAAAUUCCUCUGUGCGGCCUCGAUCUCUCUGACAGCCACCUCUUCCAGCUUCUCUCCAAAGCAGAGGAAGACCAGCAGGCAGAACAUGGCGUACUGGAAGGUCUCCUUGACGACCACAACUCCGCCCCCCGACGUCGCUGCGAGGCGGAGCUUGUCGAUGAGGACGUGCAGGACCCACUCGCGACCAUCGGCGCACUGCCUGACGCGCGAAGGAUUGAGCAUCUCCGUCGUGAGGUUGCGGCGGAGAAGCCGCCAUAGAGGGCCGUAACCGGCGGUAUUGAUGCUGUACUGGUUGGAACUGACAAUGCGGACGCCAGGGGAGGGGGGAGGUCGAUGGGCGAAUACGGCUCCGUGCUGGACGAGCAUCUCGUGUGCUUGAUCCCGGUCGGCGACCACGACGGUCGGGUAGGACCCGAAGUGGAUUGUCACGACGGGGCCGUACUUGGACCAGAGCUCCCCGAGAACGGAUUCUAAGUCGGCGGCAGAGCGGGUGAGCCACAUGAGAUUACCGAUGAUGGGGAUGGCCGGCGGGCCCGGCGGCAAACCCCGGCGUGGCUUCCGGAGGAGGGAAGCCAGGGCCAGGCAGAAGAAGAGGGUGAAGAAGCCAACGCCCCAGAGAUCCAUAUCCGCAGUGCUUUAGGCAAGUUCCAAAAGGUCAAGGGGCCCUUUGAUUUAUAAAAGGGAACCCUCUACACGUUAGCUGAGGUAGGUCCCAACUUCCACAUGGUAAAGAGAACCCUCUACACGCUACCGGAUGUGUACGUUUUUUAGUCAAUUUAAUUAUAUGCCCAAGUGGCGACGGACCACUUGGGCAUAUGAUUAAAAAGGCCAGAAUAAAUAAUAUAAUCACAAUUAUUUCAUUAGAAAAUAAAGGUGAGGUAGGAUGACUUGGAUUGAAACUAAUGGAAUGUGUAGAAAACCCAAAGGAUAUAUAUUAAGCCACAAAAUUUUCACAAAAUUAUAUUUGAACCUUUAAAGUCAACAAGGAGAAUGUUGGAAGACCAUUCCAUUCCUCAAUCGAGAAUGAGAGGAUUGUCUCAAGUUAAUGUGAUAAAAUAAACCUCCAUGUUUUAAAAUCUUAGGUGACCUCCAAAGAAGAAAAACACAGCCCACUUGACUGGUCACAAGCUCACUCAAUUAAAUUUAAUGGCAGUGGAACACAUACAAGGAAAGAUGUGAGAAGGGACCUUCGGAGUUCGCAUGCCACGAUAUUGAUGUUGAAGAUUGAGUGGAGGAGGAUGAGCCCCAUGCAUAUCUAACUAGGCAGGGUGUGUGUGAUUGACAUACAAGGCAAGAGGCUAGUGUGUAAGUCAGGGAGCCAUGGCACGUUAGCUAGGCAUUCAAGAUGCAUGGGCACUUGGCAAAGUGUAUGGGGCAUGUGAGCAUCCAUGGAAGACUUGUAUGUGGCACACUGUUGGUGCUCUGAGGAGCACUAGUCAGCACAUUGUUGGGCAUGAAAUGGCUUGUAGAGAGAACUUACAAUGAAGAGAAAGAGAGUUGACCACAAGGUAGGGUGGGACCUAUGCAAUGAUAGUGAUGACAUGUAGUAGUAUUGACAUGACUUAAUCAUUGUAUAAUAAAUCACACAAAUUUAAAAUUUAUAAAACUAGAAAAUACUAAUUUUAAAAUUUUUUUGAAUUAUGUCAGAAUUAAUAAAUCAAUUAUCACUCGAUAAGAGGUUCCAAAAAUAGUGAAAAGUUUUCAAGUUGGUCACAGGGAUGUAAUAUAAUACUAAGUAAUAUUUUAGAAUUUUUCUAAAAGAAUAUAGUUUUUUUAUGAUUUUUAGACUAGAUGAUAAAUAUAAUAUAUUUAAGAAUUUGAAUGAUGAUGUUAGUGCCCGCUGAACACAAAUUAGGUGGAAAUAAAAUUUCACCCAACAAUUCUUACAUAUGUGAUUAUUGUCGAUUCAAUAGAUCAAAUUCAGUUUUAUAAAAUUUAGAAGAAUCGUAACUUAGUGACGAAGGAUGUAGAAAUUUGAAAUCGUUCCAAUUAUUAUGAAUUUAAAUGAAAAUGAAGUAUAAAGUAAGAAAAGAUAAAGUUCUAGCUUUGCAACAACAAUCGUCGGAAUUUUACAUGUUCAAGAGGAAUUUUGUAUGAUGUCCACAGCAUCAAAGGCUCUCUUUGGACAUAGAUGAUGUCGACAAUGUCUAGAUCUUCUUGCAAAAUCUAGAAAUCAAUAGAAUGUGUCGUUGAAUCAUCUCUAAUGGUUGUCAUUCUGCAGAGCUGAAAGACAAUGACUUGUGGCCCUUUGGUUGUUGUCAUCUGAUAGAGAUAAGUUAAAUGGAGGUCGGGCACAUCUCAAGGGCUUCGUCCUCAAGUCAACACAACAAAAGGAGGCCUUUUAUUACAUAUGGUAAGUUCUUAGUAGAUGGUGACUCAUCUCUUGGUGAAUCAUUCUCUUCCCAUCAAUGACUUAUUUUUUGAUCAAUUAGAGAUGAUUUUCUUGAUCAUUUUGUGAUCUUUUGUCCCAAAUCAUUCACCAAGUUUAGCAACAAUGUUCAACAAAUCAUGUUGACUAUAUUUUCAAUAGAAAUCAUGAUUUCCUCGUCGAUUGCCUACCUAUGAGAGAGAGAAAAAUAGAAUAAGUAUGAUAAUGCCCUUAUUAAAUGAUGUAAUAAAGAUAGUUUCUUUAUGAUAAUCAAGGGAUAUUUUGAGCAUUUAAAAUCUCUUGGGGAAGCUUGUGAGCACCAAUUCAAUCCUAUUUCAAUUUUCUGCCAAAUUUUGAGACAAAUAAAAGGCCCUGUGAGGAUUUAGAAUCAAUAGGAACCUCUCUUGCCUAUGUAUGUUCACUCCUUACCCCACGCCUAGCUGGCCACUAGUGAGUGGAACAGGAGUGAUGCACACAUCAUGAGUCACUUGUGCCUUGACAACUCGCGAUCUGCCUUCAGCCACUUGAGCCUUGAGCUUGCAGUCCUCAACCAUUCAAGCCUCAAGUCAUUACUUUGCCCUACUAUGCCUCUAACUUACUUGCGGGCCAGAUUGGCUAGUUGUUUCUUCAUUUUUCUAUUUUUUAUUUUAAUUUUAUUUAUUUAUAUCAAAAAAUAGGAUUAUAAAAUUAUAUAAAUUCACAUAAUACCAUGUAAUUAAUCAAAAGUCCACAUUAACAAACUAAAAACCACUUUUCACACAUUAACCAACUAAAAACCACUUUUCAUACAUUAACACAAAUAUAAGACUAUCUAUCAUGAGUUAAAGUAAAAACUAUAAUAUCGCUUAAUUAUUAACCCAUGAUAAUGAAGACUUAUCAAGUAGUCACAUGGAUUGUUAGAGCCAUAAUGGCAUCAUGCUUUGAUGAUGACAAAAUUAUUUAAAACUAAUUAAAGUUAAUCACACUUAAUGAGUUAUGGUUCAACAAUAUUCAUGUGUUGUAAGUGAAAAAUGUAUAAUAAAUAAAUAUGAUAUAUCUAUUAUGAUGUAAUAUAUAUAUCUGACAUAUGAAGCAUGAAUGUUAUAAUACUAAGUAUACAAUUGAUAAGUUAAUUAGUGAAUAAACAUCUUGUGAUAUGAAUCUAAAUGUCUAAAUCAUAAUAUCAUAAGAAACACAUAAUAAUACAUGGUGCUAUGCAAAAAUGUUAUUAUUUACAGAAAUCAAAAUAGUUAAAGAAGUAAUGAUUCACGAAGCAAAUCAACAAGUUUAAGUAAAAUAAAAUAUGGGUAUGAAAACUCAUUCAGAUAUCUACAGACUCAUGAUUUUACUUUACAACUGCCUAAUGAUUUAAACAUCAACUUAGUCAAAUUAUUAGUCGAAUGUCAAAUUGACUAAAAAAGAUUUUUUUUAAUAUAGCUUAAAUAUAUGUUGAAAAUGAUAUAGAUCAAUCUCAACAAAGAAAUUAUGAUUUGAAAAUUCAAAUUGAACCUCACAAUGUAUAAUUACAUUUGAUGUCUUAUUUGGCUAAACUCGGAUUUGAUUUAUACAAGAAAUCAGUACUUUUGUAAGAUGUAUCAUGUUAGGCUCACAACAAAUGUUAUUGGGUUUAUAUCGGGUUUCAGUAAACCAACUAUUAUUGAAUAUGAAUGUUAAGUCCUAAAAGAUUCAUAUGUUAAUUUCUUUAGAUAAUAUAUGAAAUAGUUAAAAGAAAAAUCAUAUUGGAAAUCAACUCAAGCUUUGAAUUUAAUCAUAUUUUAUGUGAAUCUAGUCAUUGGAGAUAUGAGAAAAUCUAUGAAAAGUUUUUGCCUAAUUCAUCUAUAAAUAUCACUGAUAUCUAAUGAGAAGAAUUAAUCCUUAAUGACUACAUUUAUUCUUUUACACUUUCUUCCUCUAUUCUUGUGAUCUUUAUAUAGUACAUUCAUGAGGAGGAGAGAGAGGAUUUGUCAAUUGAUGAUGUAUCAAUUGAAGAAAUGAUUAUUAUAAAGAGUAAUCAAGAUAUUUUUCACUUUCGAGUAUUGCUUAACGACAAGCCUUCAAGCCUAAUGUACUAACUAGCAAUAACAACAAGAAGACAAAAAAUUUAUCUAUAAAUCAUUCACCUUCUACUAGUGUAAUAGUCUAUAACAUUCAAAGAUUAUCUUCUAGAUAUACCCACGAUGAUCAAGUAUUAUAUUUGUGAGUUAUUUUUAGUGAUUAUUUAUCUAAUAACUUUGGGAAGUUGUCUUGUCAAAAGAGUAGUGUAGGCCUCCUAGAGUCAUGAAUCUAGAAGAGAAUAUCUAGGUGAAAUCUUAGGGGAGUUGAGUUUGUAAAAUCAGCUAAUCUGAUCUAUACAAUAUGAUAGUGGAAGGAUGAGUGUUCUUGGAGAGUGGAUGUAAGUCAGUAUUGAACCACUAUAAAUCAUUUAUUUUAUGAUUAUAACCCAAUAAGGAUUGACCCAAUAAGAGGAGGAGAGCACAAAGAGAAAUACCUCAAAGGAGAGAAAAAUGAGAUCCAUUCAACCCUUCCUUUUUCAUCAUCACUAGCUUGAAACCUAACAUGGAUCUCUUAAGGCAUGGUCUCUUGUAGAUGAUAAUUCUGAACAAAAGAUUAACCACCAUCAAUAGAAAUCUUAGGCCUAUUUAUAUGCCAUGAGAGUAGAGAGAAGAUUACAACAUAAAGUAAUGAAAAGAAAAUUAAAGAUGGGUAAAUCCUAAUUUAGCAGAAGUUCAGAUCUUGAACUCAUGUUUGGUAGUGGCGAUGUGGAGUGAUCUCAAUAGUAGGUGUGGUCUAUGAGGGGGAGGGGGGGCUGGGGUACAUGCUCCACCAAUUGCCCCGAGGAUGGCAAAACUUGACUCUAUGAGUGGGGUUGAGAAAUCUAUAGUUGUAUUAGCAUAUUAGGUCAUAGGUUUGCCAAGUCUGCUUAUGUGAUCCAUGAGUAUUUCAUGAGGUUUGUCCUUGUCAAUGAACAAGAAACUUGCACUCCAUAACACUCUUGAUGAUGGUGAUAAUCUCAUCCCAUAUUUUCUCAAUGUAUUCAUGUUAAUUAGGAGAGGGAAUGGGGGGAGUAGAUGAGGCAAAGCCAUAGGUAGGAGUAGCUUAUCAAUAUUAGGUAGAGCUUUAUAUGAAAUCAAAUCCAAGACAUUGAAGGUGGAGCUUAUCCCCCAUGAGGAAGGUAUACCAACAUCAUAGGAAUUUUCCCCAACUUGUUUAAGGAUUGGAAAUAGCCCAAUGCUAUGAGCAUGACAGCUAGUAACACUUAUAAGAGGAAAUCUCUCUAACAUUGUUCUCACCAAUACAAAGUCCCCUUCUUCAAAGGUGAGAAAAUGAUAGUGCAAAUCAGUGGCUUGUUUAUAUGAUGUAUUACUACUCGUGAUGCAACAGUGUAUUUCCUCAUGUAAAUUCCUAAUAUAUUUUGUAAAUAACUCAGUGUCAUCUGAGAGCCUAACAUGCUUAGACAUGAGGAAGUCGAUAGGCUUUCAUAGAGGGUAACCAUAUACAAUUUUAAAAGGACUCUUGCUAGUGGUACAAUUGAUAGAUACAUUAUAGGCAACUCUAUGUGUGAAAUGAUGAUAAUGAUUAAUUAGUAGUUACAUCUAUACAUUAAUAUCUUAUAUAUAAAUGCCCAUUAGUGGGUAGAGAAUAUAUUUAUAUAUUUAUUACCGACUCAUUAUGAUAUUCAUAAUAUUUUACUAUUUAAGUCUUAAUACAUAUUGUUGUACUUAUUUAUUGAUAUUAUGAGACUAACCCUACUUGACAAAUGAUAAUUCUCCCACAUUUUAUUGUUAAUGAUUUGAUUACAAGGACUUAGGUGAGUUGUUAUUAUAAGUUAGAAGUAAUGGGAGAAACCCAAGUUCUUAAUUGAAGAAUUAGCCUAAGUUUUAUGGAGAGUACCAACCCAAUAUUUUUAUGAGCCCAAGAGAUGAUGUCAUCUUAUUUAGGCCCAUUUGAACCUUAAGUGGCAGAUGACCUUGGUCUAGCCCAUUUUGAAUUAAAAGUGCUAUCAAUAAAUGAGAUAUACGUCAUCUAUCUUAAGGUCCCUUAAGAUGAAACUAAGCAAAGAUUUAGGGUGACACCCUCAUGGAGGAAUCUAGGCCAUCCACUAAGAAAGUUGGUUACUAAUCAUAACUAUUCAUUAGAGAUAACUGAUUCUCUAAAGGUUUAAACACUCUCACCCCCCCUCUUGGAGGGUUCUUUUUGGCUCUCUCUCUAAUAGUGACUAGCUGAAGGAAAAAUGAGAGAAACCAAGGCCUGGUCAAUGGCAUUAUCAUGUUCAAGAUUGACAUGGAAAAGGGAUUACCUAAAGCAUAUCAAGAUCGUCACAAAUUAAGAACCACUCAACCUAGGACUGGCACACAAUGAGGUUUUGAAAGAUUCUAAUUUGAGUGUCCUUGUAAUUCUCUUUAUAGAAAGAUUAACUCUUAGUUUGAACUAGUUUCAUCAUUUAUUUUAUCAUUUUUUCAUGUUUUAUCCAUUCUAUCAUGAUCAACUUCUCCAUCCCUUUUAUAUUCACUCUUUUUACAUUUAAUCUUGCCCAUUCCCAUCUCAAGUAUAUCUAUAUAUAUAUAUAUAUAUAUAUAUAUAUAUAUAUAUAUAANNNNNNNNNNNNNNNNNNNNNNNNNNNNNNNNNNNNNNNNNNNNNNNNNNNNNNNNNNNNNNNNNNNNNNNNNNNNNNNNNNNNNNNNNNNNNNNNNNNNNNNNNNNNNNNNNNNNNNNNNNNNNNNNNNNNNNNNNNNNNNNNNNNNNNNNNNNNNNNNNNNNNNNNNNNNNNNNNNNNNNNNNNNNNNNNNNNNNNNNNNNNNNNNNNNNNNNNNNNNNNNNNNNNNNNNNNNNNNNNNNNNNNNNNNNNNNNNNNNNNNNNNNNNNNNNNNNNNNNNNNNNNNNNNNNNNNNNNNNNNNNNNNNNNNNNNNNNNNNNNNNNNNNNNNNNNNNNNNNNNNNNNNNNNNNNNNNNNNNNNNNNNNNNNNNNNNNNNNNNNNNNNNNNNNNNNNNNNNNNNNNNNNNNNNNNNNNNNNNNNNNNNNNNNNNNNNNNNNNNNNNNNNNNNNNNNNNNNNNNNNNNNNNNNNNNNNNNNNNNNNNNNNNNNNNNNNNUAUAUAUAUAUAUAUAUAUAUAUAUAUAUAUAAGAAAUAAAAUAAAUAAAAUUCUUACUCUUAUUAUCUAUGCUCCCUAAGGAGACGAUGUGGGUGAUCUCUAGAACUUCUUUCAAAGCCUAGAAAUUGGUUGAAUGGGUCGCCAAAUCGUUUCUGGCGGCUGUCACCCGACGGAACGGAAAAACGGCGACAUGCAACCCUUCGGUGACUAUCACUUGAUAGAGGUAUGCUAGAUGGAGGUGGGGCAUGUCUUAGGGGCUUCAUCCUUAAGUCAGCGCAGCAAGAGGAGGCCUAUUAUCACAUCUGGUAUGCUCUCAAGAGGUGGCGAUUCGUCUCCAAGCGGAUCGUCCUCUUACUGGCGAAGGCUUAUUCGUCGAUCAAGUAGAGAUGAUUUUUUCAUUGAGUUCGUGAUGUUUUGUUUAGAAUCCUACACCAAUUUCGGCCACGAUGCUCUGCAAAUCGCGUUGACUAAGUUUUUGCUGAAUUUUUGGUGAUUUUUGUAGCUUAAUCACUCAUUGAAAAUCACAAUUUCUUCGCCAGUUGUCCGCCUACGAGAGAGAGAAAGAGGAAGAGAUGAGAUAAGUAUUAAAAUGCCCUUAAUGUAUGAUGUCAUAAGGAUCAUUUUAUAAUGGUCAUUGAGGGGCAUUGUUGUCAUUUAUAAAAUCUACGGGAAAAAAUUAAAACAUGGGGUUUAGUCUCACAUCAGUUUUCUUGGUAAUUUUCAUGUGAAUAUAAGAUGGCCACUUCUUUAGCCAUCAAUAGGUACAAAUCACUUGCGUGUGUACGACCACUCUUUGCCCCACGCCUGGCUGGCCACCGAUGACAUGGAAGGGGAGUGACGCACAUGUCAGCCACUUGAGCGCCUAGCUCGCGGUCUACCUCAUCAGCUGCUUGAGCCUCGAGCUUGUGGUCUUGUCCUUAGCCGCAUGAGCCUUGAGCUCGUGGUCCUUAGCCACUUAGUGGCCUCGCCCGACUGGGCCUCCGAUCUACUAGCGGGCCCAGUUGGUUGGUGGUUUUUUUACUUUUUCCUUAAAUCUUUUUUUUUCAUUUCUCUCAACAAAAUAAGAUUAUAAAAUCAUGUAAUUAAACAAAAAUUCAUAUUAACCAACUAGAAACCACUUUUCACGAUUUAGUAUGAAAAUAAGUCUAUUUAUCAUGAGUUAAGGCUGAAAAUAUCAUCUCACUAAAUUAUUAACUCAUGAUAAUGAAGACUUAUCAAGGGGCAAGUGUUUUGAAAUAAUCAAUCCCCUAAAUUUGGGUGUACCUUUUACCCAACAAGUUGGCCUUAUACCUUCUACUGUACCAUCUACAUUAUUGAUAAUAUCUCAUUUUUUAGAUGUAAUGUGAGUUAAAAUAAUAAAAUAUUACAUAAAUUUUAUGGACAUAAAUUAUAAUCAUUGAAGAAAAUGUUUUUAAGGGUUAUCAUAUUUUUUAUGAAUUUUAGUUAAUUUUUAUGAUUUAUUUCAGAUUAAAAUGAAUUACUUACUAUUUUUUGAAAUAAAUAAAUAUAUAACAUCUAUUAUUAGGCAUAGUUAUAUAAUUUCCGCUUGAUCUGAUGCCUUGAAUGCACUAUGUCACCCUUUUUCGGCAAUGAAUCAGUGGCUGAUUGAUAAUUAUAUCACGCUAAUGUUUCAUAAUUUUUCAAGAUGUGCCAUGUACCCCUAAGAGUAAAUUGAUUGUAAAGUACAGAGAACAUCGCAUAACUAGGGUACUUAAGUCUAGGAGAGACAUAUCAACAAUUAUCUAUUAUCAUUAGAUGAGAAUGAGAUUAUUGAUUAUCGUCUACAAAAUGUAAAGGGUAGAGGUUCACCGGUGACAAUCAUUCUGUCUUCUCCCUCCUCCAUGUGGUUAGAGCCUCUGGCGGGUCACCACAAGUCUUCACCUUUACCCCAGAUGGUGGUGACAGUAAUGUCAAACCCUUCUCUCCAUAGAAUCCUUCUGAUGAGCAGCACAGAGCUGUCAAUCGAUAUUCAUGCACCUUCCAACAUUGUGCGACAUGAUCAGAUGAUACAAAGCCAUCACACUAUCAUCUCUUGCUAUUCCAAAGGCAGACCAUCGAAGGACAACAUUAGUUUUAGAUUUAUUUCUCAUUUUAUUUAGUUUUUUUUUCACGAAUGAUAAUUUCUGAACAUUUGCCAAAAAUAAUCAAAAGAACACGUGAUUCACUUGAUCAAAAGGAUUUCCUUCUAUCUCAAAUCUUCUAUAACUCAUUAUGAAUUAUCUAGGGAGUGAUUUUGAAUUUUUUUCCAUCAAUUUAAAAUCCAGCUAAAAUUCCUUACUAUUUUUCCACCGGGCGGAAUGAUUUUCUAGUGAUUUUCCUAUGAUUUCUCUCUGAUUAAUUAAUGGUUUUGUUGAUUUUAUGGUUACAUUCUAACCUUUUACUCCUUAUUAAUUGGUAGGAAAUUGAUUCAGGCAUUUUCUAGCAUGAUUUCAUACCUUUUUCACAUAUUCUCUCUCGUGUAUUCAUCCAAAAAUCACAGUCAACGUAGGUGCGAGACAUGGCGACCUCGAUUUUCUAUCUCCAAAUUAUCAUCUAUUUUCCUUUCUCUUUCCUUACCUCUACCUAAAAAUUUGUCUAAAAUCUCUUCUUAACCCCAUUUCUAUCUCCCAAAAAUUCAUCCAAAAGUCCCUUCAAAAUCCCACAUCUAUCCCCCAAAAUUUCUUCUUCUAAUCCCUUCUAAAUCCCACAUCUCUCCCUUUUUCUCUUCAUUAUUUAAUAAAUAUUACUUUCUAUUAUUUAAUUUUAAAAAAUUCUAAAAACUUACAGAUUCACUAGAAUAAUAAAAUAAAAAUUAAUAUCCAUGACAAGUUCUUCCUACUCCUUGUCUUCGACUUGAGACUCAUUGCUUUACUAAUUUUUCAUUAAGUUUUAAUUAUAAAUAUUAUUAGAUUAUGGGUAUUUAAAUCCAAUGACAAAUGUUCAUCAAUUAUAUUUAAUUGUAAAGGCCUACUUGCCUCUUACUAUAUUCUUUCCUUGUAAAUUCCGUAAUGUUCUCACCUCAUUCAUUAUUGUUUUCAUUCAUCCUAACCUAACACUUCUAUUAAAAAAUGUUGUGAGAGGUAAGGAAUAUCUUGUGAGAGGGUGAUAGUAGACCAUAAGAUAAAAAAUGAAAGAUUAGAUAUCUUGGAAUUUAAACACAUUUUCUCUUUCCUUUCAUAAGAACAAUGAAAAUUCUUCAUUAUUCUCCUCUAGUAUAAAAAGUUGGCUAGAUGGCAUGAAUUAUUGACCAUUAGCAACAUCUUGAGUGACCUUUAAGAGUUCAUUUGAUUGUUUUAUUUGUAGAGAAUCCUACAGUUUUGGUUCUAUAGACGUCACUCUUAGUGAUGGAGGUAUUUCUUUACAUGUAAUUGGUAAAAUGUAGUUUUUCUUUUUUUGUUUCCUAUUGUUACCCACAAUCCCAAUUACCUCAUAAUGAAGGAUUUAAUCAAAGUAAGAUUCAUACUGAUAAUAAAUAAUGUCAAUCGAGGUUUUUUUUUUAUGGGGGGUGAUAAUAUAUAUACCAAAUUUUUGUGUUUGAAUAUCUACUAAUAUGUAUUUAAGUGCUCAUAAAUCAAGUUUUCCCUUGUUUUGAUCGUAGUUGUUAACAAGACAUACACAACUAAAUAUCUUAGGACUAGGGUUUUUUUAAGUUGUGUUGGGAUAAAAUUGAGAUAAAAUCCUAUGCACAUGAAUUUGAAUCCCUAUUCUUCCCUCCCUCCCUCUACCUCAUCCCCUUCUCCACCUCAUUGCGUGAAGAAGCUAAAGCAGCCUGAUAAGUUUUUGGAUUGUUUUCAUGCUGUGGAAGAUAUGGUCAAAGUCAAAAGCACUUAUAUUGCUAGCAAGCUUCACAUACCUAUCUAACAUGGCAAAGAGGUACUAAUGAUUGGAUAGCCCAAUGACUGGCCACGUUGUCAUAAUGGACAGCUUUGUUGCGAUAUUUAGAUAGGAGAGUGGUGGAGCAUGUACUCUAGCACCAUCACCAAUGACCACGAUAUCCUCCACAAUAUCGAGGUCCAUAAGGGAAUCCAAGUAGGAGGAGCGGAAGCUGUUCCCCCCAUGAACCUUAGAUUAUUUCUGUUGAUGCCGAGAUCUGAUGAGAGGGAGGAAGAUCUCCCUCCGCCACUGCCAGAGCUGUAGGAGACCAUUCCACCUCCUCCUGAAUAAAUACCUACAUGUUUUUGGGGUGAUUGAGAAGAUAUUGAGCUUACACAUGAAGCGUAGAAAAUCACUCUGCACAUCCUUGAUCUCUCUUAUGGCCGCCUCUUCGAGCUUCUCUCCAAAGCAGAGAAAAACCAGCAAGCAGAAUAUGGAGAUCUAGAAGGUCUCCUUGACAACCACAAUUCCAUCCCCAGAUGUCUCCGUUGGGCGGAGCCUAUCAAGGAGGGCAUGGAGCACCCACUCAUGAGCAUCGGCACGGUGCCUGACACAUGAAGUGUUGAGCAUCUCUUUUGCGAGGUUGUGGUGAAGAAGUCACCAUAUAGGGCCAUAACUAUUAAGAAGAGAGACACAUGUAAAUGACACAUGUAACCCUCAUGUAUAGAAAUACAUGUUCAAUUGAGGAAUACAUAACAUCUUUUCACUUUCCUCUCGUGUUUCACCUCUUUUUGUUUCCCUACUUUUGUAAUAUGUUAUUUGAGCCCUAGGGAGUCCGUCCCAAGAGCCUUCUGAUACCGAUAGAGUUUCUGCUGAGAAGAGAUUCAUACCCAAUCAACAUUACUACUACAGGUCCUUUAUCUCAAGUUUUCUUUAUUUGCAGGAGAUAACUUUAACUCCAACAAAUAUUCAUUUCAAAGAGUUUUGACCUAAUUCUCAAUAUUAUCAUUGCAAGAACAUUAUAUUUCAUCUAUCAGAGAUAACCUAAUUCAAAUUUAUAUCUAUAUCAUAUUACUCAACAGUACGAGUUCUUCUUAGAGUUUAAUACUUCUCGAGUGAAAUUAUGAAUUGCCAUUCCUUGAAAUUCAGCAAAUAUGUUGAAUAUCUGAUUAAAGCGGAGACAAUAUUUCAAGUAAUAUUUAAUCUCAUUGUCGAUUUGAUACUCGUCAUCAUGACAUCUCAUGCAAAGGAGAUUUCUGCAAGAAUAUCAACAGAUAUUAUCUACAUUAUCUACAUUGAUGAAUGGAUCCCCCCCGUCCAUGUUAUCUACAUUACUUAGACUAUCCUGGUUCUAUAUUAGUGACACAAUCACUUACUAGUUGUGAAAAUUAUGGAUCAUGAAAUAGAGCUAUGGUUACUGCCCCUUACGUGAAAAAUAAAGUUAUUUUUAUUGAUGGCUCAAUUCAGAAACCAACACAAACAGAUCAACAUUAUAUUUCUUGGAUACUGAACAACAAUUUAGUUGUUUCUUGGAUUUUAAAUUCUGUUUUAAAGCAAUAUCAGCUAGUGUCACCUAUAUAGAGUCAGCUUAUGAAAUAUGGGAGGAAUUUCGAAAUAGGAUCCAACAAGGUACUGGUCCAAGAUUAUCUCAAUUACAACAAUAUUUAAAGAAUCUUCAUCAAGGUUCAGAUUCAGUUGGGACAUAUUUCACCAAGAUAAUUUGGGAAGAAUGGAAUAAUUUUCGACUAUCAUGUUCACGUUGCUCUUGUGGUGGAGUCAAGAAAAUGAAUGAUUAUGCUCAAAUAGAACAUGUGAUGUGUUCUUUAAUGGGAUUGAAUGAUUGGUUCAAUCAAUUACAUACUCAAGUACUACUUAUGGAUCCUAUUCCAUCCAUCAGCAAGGUGUAUUCCUUAGUUUCCCAAGAUGAAAAUCAAAACAAAUCAACAAUCAACAUCCUUUUGGGAUCAAUAUGACUUAGGGGGCUGCAUUUUUUGUAAAGACAAGUAAUUCUAAAUAAGUGUCUUACAAAUAUAAUCAAGGGUCCAAAAGAGACCGUGCAUAUUGCAGCCAUUGUAAAUUUUGUGGUCAUACUAUAGAACAGCUCUCCAAAGUAACAAUUGACAAGACUCAUCACAUUGGAGAUUUGUACACAUUUGAAGCAAAUCGUGACAUUAACUGAAGCUUGGAGCAUUUUCAAAGAGAGAUUGCAACAGCUCUUACAAUAAAAGUUCACCACGUGAUACAUGACAUAAUAGAUUAGGCCCUCUUUCUUCAAAGGUCCUGAAGGUCUUAUGUGACUAGUCAUCAUUGAACACUUCUUUUGUUGAUUCUAAAACUCCAUGCCAUGUUAGUCAUUUUGCAAAACAAUGAAGAUUACCUUUUACCUCUCACAAUAAGUUAUCAAAUCAACACUUUUUGAUACAUUGUGAGAUUUGGGGGCCAUAUGAUAUUUCUAGUCAUUCAGGGCAUAAAUAUUUUCUCACAGUUGUCAAUGAUCCAACUCUUUUUACAUGGAUUUUUCCUAAAAAAUAAAUCAGAUGCACAUUGUAUCAUUAAAAAAAAAAUUCUACGAUUCAAACUCAGUUUGGCUUGAGAUUAAACAAUUCAGGUUAGACAGUGCUAAAGAAUUAGAAUUUAAAAAAAAUUUCAGUGAACAUGGGUUUUUACAUCAAUAUUCAUGUGUUUAGAAACCAAAAUAAAAUUUUGUAGUGGAAAGAAAGCAUCAACAUAUUUUGAAUGUGGCUAGAGCAUUAUUUUUUCAGUCUCACAUUCCAUUAACAUUUUGAACAAUUUAUGUGUUGAUAGCAACCUUUCUUAUGAAUAGACUACAAUCCCCACUUGUUAACAAGAAAACACCAUAUUAGUUAUUAUAUCAUAAAUCCUUUGAUUACUCAAGCUUGAGAGUUUUUGGAUGUCUGACUUUUUCUUCCGCAUUACACAAUAAUUGAACAAAAUUUGAUCCAUGUGCAAAAUCAUGUGUUCAUUGGAUUUCUAGCUAGAAUAAAAGGUUACAGACUCUAUGAUUUGAAACCUCAACAGAUUAUUGUAUCUCAAUGAUGUUAUUUUCUGUGAGAGGAUUUUUUCUUUCUAGGCACUCGCAAAGGAUAAAAAUUUAAUAGAUCCAUUUUCUGAUCAUGUUUUAGCUAUUGUGAUGCAAGAGAUUGAAUAUGAUGUACUGUCUUCUUUUGUAAAAUUUUUAGCUGAUAACUCAUCACAAAUAUUGAUGGAUUCAUUAGUGGAUACUUCACACCAACUAUCUAUAGGAAUGGAUUCACAAUUGUCAUCCAGAAAAUCUACACGUGUGUGUAAAUGACCUCUUAUCUUCAAGAUUUUCAUUGCAAUAAUUUGAUUAUCGAGCUAGAAAAUGAUACAAAAAAGAGUAUGAAUCAUCCAAUAUCUGAUUUCAUCUCUUAUGAUGCAUUGAGUUCUUCCUACAAACAUUUGAUUUUGAAUAUCUUGUCCAACUUUGAGCUUGAGUCUUAUCAUCAAGCUAUUUGGUUUCCACAUCGCCAAAUUGCAAUGAGAGAAGAAUUAGGUGUUAUGGAAUCAAAUCAUACAUCAUCUACUAUAUCGUUACCAUUAAGGAAACACAAAAUUGGAUGUCACUGGAUAUAUAAGAUCAAGUAUCAUUCUGAUGGGUCUAUUGAAAGAUAUAAAGCUAGGCUUGUUGCCAAAGGAUAAACUCAUCAAGAAGUAAUAGAUUUCUUUGAGACCUUUUUCCCAGUUGCUAAAUCUACUACAAUUAAAGUUUUACUAUCUUUAGCCUCAAUAUACAAUUGGCAUCUUUUUCAAUUAGAUGUCAACAAUACUUUUCUAAAUGGUGAUUUAAUGGAAGAAAAUACUUGGAUCUUCCUUUAGGCUAUCACUCUAAAGAGGAUGUCAAAACCAAUGGCAGGCUUGUUUCUAAGUUACAUAAUCAAUUUAUAGACUUAAAAAAGCUUUUAGACAAUAGUCCUCUAAGCUGUCAUCCUCACUUAAUACAUAUGGAUUGAAACAAUCAAAAUUCAUUAUUUUCCAAGGAGUGAGUCAUCUUUUAUUGCACUACUUGUGUAUGUGGAUGCUAUUAUCAUUGUUUGACCUUCUCUCUCUGAAUUAAGUACAUUGAAGAUAUUUUUACAUACAAAAUAUAAACUCAAGAAUCUUCAUUCAUUGAAAUAUUUUUUGGGGUUAGAACUUGCUUGGUCAAAUGAAGGUAUUGUAUUGUCUCAAUGACACUACACUCUAAAGCUACUUGAAGAUAGGUUUUUCUUAGCUCUAAGCCUCACAAUACUCCUAUGAAUCCAUGAUUAUAGCUUAAUACUGAUUCGGACAAUUUGGUAGAAGAUCCAUCACAAUACAGAAAAUUUAGUAAAUUAGCUUGCUUAACAUUGUCCCGACCAUACAUUUACUGUCCAUAAAUUGAGACAAUAUAUCAUUCAACUUUGUCAAAUCCAUCUACAAGCAGUUCAUCAUGUGCUUCGAUAUCUUAAAUCCACUCCUAGCCGAGGUUUAUUUUUUCCAGCUACAUCUCAAUUACAGCUUCAAGCUUUUUCUGACACAGAAUAGGCUUUUUGUGUUGAUUCUCAUAUAUUUGUCACUGGUUUCUAUGUUUUUCUUGGAGAUUCUCUUAUAUCAUGGAAAGCAAAGAAAUUGUCAACUAUUUGUAGAUCAUCUGCUAAAGCUGAGUAGAGAGCCCUUGCUGCAACUGUAGUAGAGAUCAUUUGGUUAGAACAGUUACUACAAGAUUUCAAUAUCACGUCUUCUCUUACACCUCUUUUUUCAGACAGCCAAGCAGCAAUUCAGAUUGCUUCAAAUCUAAUUUUCUAUGAAUGCACAAACACAUUGAAAUUGAUUCCCAUUUUGUUUAGGAAAAACUUCUUCAAAAUUGUAUCAAACUCUUUAUAGUGUCAUCUCGGCAUCAGCUGACCGAUCUUUUUACAAAACCAUUACCACACAGUCGUUUUGUUGCUUUAUUGUCCAAGAUGACUUUGAAAAACAUUUAUGGUCAUCCUGAGGGGGAGUAUUAAGAAUAGAGUGACGUGUAAAAGACACGUGUAACCCUCAUGUAUGUAGAAACAUAUUCAAUAGAGGAAUACGUAACACCUUUUCACUUUCCUCUCGCGUUUCGCCUCUUUUUGUUUCCCUAUUUUUGUAACAGUAACCGGCGGCAGUGAUGCUAAACUGGUUGGAAGUGACGAUGCGGAGGGCGGGCGAGGGAGAAGGGCGAUCGGGGAAGACGACCCCAUGCUGGGCGAGCAUCUCAUGUCCGAGAUCCCGGUCGCCGACUAUGACGAUCGGGAUGGAGCCGAGGUGGAUCGUCACGACGGGGCCGUACGUUGACCAGAGUUCCCGGAGAACGAACUCCAAGUCGGCGGCGGAGUGGGUUAGCCACAUGAGAUUGCCGAGGAUGGGGAUGGCCGGCGGGCCCGGGGGCAAACUCCGGCGCGGCGGCCGGAGUAGGAGGCCGUACAGGGCCAAGCGGAGGAAGAGGGUGAGGACGCCGACGCCCCAGGUUUCCACAGCCGCUGCUCUUCGAGUAGCCUCCCAAAAAGUCUCCGGGGCUAUUCAUUAGUUAUGAGAACAAGAUUUACCCCACCCCCACCCGUGAAGACUCACGACGAGCGAAUGGAGAUCAGUCUAGGUUGCUUGGAGACGGCUCUUACCCAUUUUCGGAUGACGCCAUCCGUUAUGGACCUAUCUUGCCGAGAGGUCAAAAAAAGGCCCACGUGCAGAAAAUAAGCUUCGUCAACUUUUAUCUGUGAAAUUAAAAUAAUGCCUUCUGCAUUGGGCCCCAACUUCAGGCCCAUACGGUCUGAAGGCUCAGGCCCAAAAACGUGGAUUGAUCUGCUCUAGCCCAUUAAUACUUGUGGAGAGCGAUCUGUUCCUUGCAGCACCCCUCACUGCAGAACAGCAGAUUCCGUCUAUUUUGAACACGACGCAGAACUACUCAUAUAUUCUCCAGUUGAGGUAACAAGAUAUAGUCGGACAGUAUUUUUUUUCUAUAGAGAAAGAGACAAGUGGGCCAUCGUGGAGGGCAGUCUGAGAUUGGAACUGCUUACGCAGAGAUGACAAAGCAGCCGAAGGUGCUCAUGCAUCCAGAUGUGAGUGUGCUCAACUGUGGUUCUGCGUGGACAUGCAACACAAGCCUAGGGGGCUGUCUAGGUGUCAAAUAAAGCCCAAACUCCCUGCACAAGAUUUGUGAAAAAGCAUGAAGCACAAGCAUUCAUAGAAGAGGGCGUAAAAACGAGAUGAGUAAGCAAUAAGAUGAUGACCAUCAAGAUGAGAUGACUAAGAACAACAUCGUACAAGAAGACUGAAGUCGUUCAGUGAGGAAGUGUUAGAUAUAAGAUUCUGCUGACAUCAAAAAUGAGUGGGAGGAGUUGAAUUAGUCAGAUCUAAUUUGUUUCAUUUUCUAGUCUUUAUUACUCCCUUGCUCUUUACUAAUUCACCAGUUAAUUAAUCAAAAACACUUAAGGAAUCUUGUAAUUUUUUGUUGUCCGUUACUUAUUCUACUAUUUGAAGAUUGUUUUUAAAUUCCAGCGAGACAAAUAUUUUUAGAUUAAUAUUUUUAGAGUAGGGAUGGUAAUGUUAAGAAAAAAGUUGAUGUCCAAUUGCUAUUAUUACCCGUCUAACAGAGAUUGUUAGUUACUCCAUUGGGCACAACAGUUACUUCAUCCACUUCCAUGUUCAUGACGAGCGUAAGAAAAUUUGAUUGGUAGAAUAAAAGUUGAGGCUGGUCCUCAAUUAAUAGCAAGACGGUAAAUGGACCAAAUCUUACAAUAAUUCAAUAUAAAAGGUAAAAAGGCCGUAAGUUUAACAAGGCUGGAGUAUCUCAACCUCCCAGCUUCUCCCUAAUGACGAUAUUUGGAGAGAGAGAGAGAGAGAGAGAGAGAGUUUUUGGUAGGGCUCUCAACCAACCACACGGGAGCCAAAAAACCAACAUGGUACGACAUAGCAUGGGCCAUGUCGUGCCAGAAAAGUUAAUGUCAUGCAUGCACCCAUGUCAUGAUAGCACACACAGUUAUAUGAAAAUAUUAAUUAAAAAAUCAAGGACACAAUAGCACUAGGUCACACUCACAAGGGGUCAUGCCAAGAUGGGGUGUCAUUCAUUUUUCACUCAUAUCCUCUAUGUCCUAACUCUCAAAGCCUCCUCUCCUCUACUCUUCUUCUCUCUUAGCUCACCUCCCCACCACGCUCAACCUUCGUUGGCUAUCUUCUUCAAGGAAUCGCUUGGCUCUACUCAUGACUCAACCUUUGUUAGUUAUCUUCUUUGAGGAAUCAAUUGGUUCUACUCGUAGCUCAACUUCCACUAGCUAUUGUCUCUUCACAAAUCAUUUCACCAUAGUCGUCCUUCUCCAUCCUCAAUUUGCACAACUUUUUCAACACUCAAGAGAUAUUAGAAUACAAUAAGAGGUAGUUACCAACUCCAAUGCUUUAUUAGCUUUUCUAACAUGUCAAUUUAUUUCAUUAUUUUUUUCAUCUAGUUAUAUUUAUUUUAAUGUGAAUUAUAUAAAUUGUAACCAAAAAUAAAUAUUUUUCCUUGAAGAUCAAAAGCAUGAAAUAGAGAUUAUUUGAUAUCAGAAAUAAUACUUAAUAUUAUUUUUAUUUUUUCACAAUGAUGAUUAAAUGAAAGUAAAGAAAUAUCAUUAAUAGAUUUGAGUAAAUCCUUAAUUUUAAUUGAAUGAAAUUCAGUAGGUAUGGAGUCUAGAAAUAGAGUACAGGAGGCAAAUGAUGAUAGAGAUGACAUAUAGGUCACUUUUUUAUCUAUCUUGCUUCACUAGUAUGGAAUAUGAUAGUCCUUAUAUUGUUUUUUAAAAUUUGACCCUUCACAUGGUUAUCUUUUUCUUUUACUAAAUAGGUGACAAGCAUGGUGGGGGAGAGUCUAAGCCCAACAAUAACCCAUGAUGAAAGAAAAAAAGAUUAUAAGGAUCAAAGACAAAGGAGUACUUUAGAAAGACAGAUGAUGGUAAUUUCAUUUGUAAAGUUUGCAAGGAAAUAAGGAACACACAGCAUGCCAUUAUUCCAAGAAAGAUAGUUGUACUUCAGCUCAAUGGAAGCAUUUGAGAAAGUUUUAUUGAACUACUUUAAAUAAGAUUCAAGGCAAAGGGAAGUAAAAAAAUAUGCUAGAUAUGCUUCAAAAGCCAAAACUAGGUAAGUUGCAUUAUGAAGGUACUAGUGAGCAAACCAAAAAUGAGCUUGUACCAUUUAUUGUUCACAUAGAUUGUACUUUCACACUAAUGGAGACUUUUGACCCUUAAGAGAUUGUUAUCAUAUUUAGCGUAAUGCGAUGUUGAGCUUCCUUCUAUAAACAUGCCACAAGAUUCUUCUGUGAAAAUGUACCAUGAUUGUCAAAAUAUGCUUAAGACGGUUAAAAGGUUACUUUGACAAUCGAUGCGACUAUCGACAAUCAAAUUCUUAUUUUAGAAAUGAAAAUCCAUUGGAUUGACGAGUGGACAAUGUGUGACCAUGUUUUGGCUGUUGAAGAACUUGUUGGACUACACAUAGGGAAUAAUAUGACUAAUAUUUUAUUCAAGGUACUCAUGACUUUCACCAGUGGCCAAGGUAAGUAAUUUUAUAUUCAAUGGCUAUUUAGCUUUCAAAUAUUCGUUUGUUAAAUUUAAUUGUUCUUUGUAGGUUUGUGCAAUAAGUAUUGACAAUGUAAAUAAUAACAAAAUAAUGAUAAAAAAUUUAAAUUUGGAGCAUCUUAUGCCUUGUGUUGCUUAUGUGCUUAAUUUCACCCAUUCAAAAUGGAUGAAAGUAGCUGGAUAUCAAACUAGCACAAUUAGAGGAAGAGCUUGCUGAUUAAAUCUUCAAUGGUUUUAAAGAUUUAAGUACACCCUCUUUCAUUGCACUUUUAGGCAAAUUAUUAAUUCAUUUAUGUAAGUUAAUCAUAGCUAUCAAGAUGUCACCAUAGAAAAUAAGGUGAUAUUAGAAUAUGUGUGAGGAUCAUCACAUGCCCAACAACAGUAAGCUCAAGGUAGAUUACCCGAUAAGGUAGAACUCAACAUUUUGAAAUGCUACUAUCAGCCCUUGUAAAAAAGCCGAUGUUUAUGGACAUAGCCACAAAGUUGUUGAAUAACAUAAGUCAAUGUUUUACAAUUUCAAAUGAGUGAGACCUUUUAAAUACUUUUCUAAAGGUGUUUUGACCAUUUAGAAUUCUACGCAUAUGAUUAGUGUUUCUAAGAUCGUGUCCAUAUUAAGAGUUAUCAUUAUUAUUGAAGGGUUUCCAAAUUUUAUGCUAGCUAACAUCAACUCUCUCUACAACCCAAAAUCAACAUUACCUUUAGAUCAACUAAAGACUCUAAAUUGCACGUAUAAAUCUAUGAUUGUAAAAUUUACUAAGUACAAAGAAACCCUGCAAUGCAAUCUAGCCUAUGUCAUUGUCAUAAUCAUGGAUCAGAAUAAAAAGCUUUGUGGUUUUCCUCAUGAAUUUCAUGAAGUUGUUUGUGAGCAAUUACUUAAUUUACUUGAUUCAAGUGGUGACAUAUGUGUUGAAAGGCACAAAAAUACAUAUGGAGCAAAUUGGGAUCCAUUUAUGAUGCCCUCUUCCUUACUUAUGUCAAGUACAUAUCAUAAUUUUUUAUCAAGCUAUAUAUAGCAGGGGAGAAUCAACCUUUGAAUAGGGUUACACCCAUUAUGGAGUAAUUAGAUGACUAUUUGAAUGAAGGAUACAUCGUUGCCAAUCUAUUGGCAUGGUGGGAGAAUAUUAGACACUUUCGAUUCCCCAAGCUUUCUUGUCUUGCAAAGGAUUACCUCUGCAGUUGCGUGACCAGCACACUUGCGGAGUGUCUUUUCUCAGCCAGGAGAGGUAUCGUCACAUAAAAGAGAGGAAGCUUAUUGGGUGAAACUAUUUAUGUGUUGCUAUUAUUAAAAUGUUGGGCACGAGAAGAGGACAACAUUGAAGAACAUAACGUCAUGCAUGUCAAAAAAGGGAUGCCUUCAAACAUUUUCCAAUGUUCCUAACUGUAUUCUCUCAUUUUCACUCAUUAUAAGGAUUAUAAUUACAUUUAGAGACCAAUUUAUUUUUUCGUUCUAUAUUUAAAUUUAACAUAUUUAUCAAGUAUUGUUUCCAUUCUGGUGAGUUUUUUAAAAAUUUUUUAUUAUUUAAUUUUCCUCAGCUCACAUAAUUUUUCUAUGCUUUUAGAAUUUUUCCUGAUCUUUUAUUUUGUUUAAAACUUUCUUAUGUCACAGAAUUUUCCUAUUUUUUAAAAUUUCCCCUAAUUUAUUUUAUUUUUUUAUUUUUCUCAAUCACUAUUAUUUUAAUAUUAAUUUUUAUGAUUUAUUUUAAUUUUAAUUUUCUCUCAGUUCUCAGCAUUUUCCCCCAUUUUUUCGAAAUUUUUCCUGUUUCCGUUGAUUUUUUAUUUAAAAUAAUUUCUUUUAUCGGGUCAACUCAUUGCUCGUUGACCGGAGGCACGGCCCAGUCGUGCCGUGCGCCGCGCUGGACCUGCAACGACCCACGGCACGACACGGCCCAGUCGUACCGUGUGCCGUGCUACGAAAAACACGGCACGAGGACCUCGGUUGAGAGCCCUAGUUUCGGGACUCCUCUCUCUCUCUUCCCUAAUGGGAGAGAGCGCUAAGUUGCAAGUUCCUCUGUCUCUCUCUCUCUCUCUCGCUCUCUCUCUCUUCUUACAUUAUUACCACUAGCGAGCGGCAACGGAAGAGACACGACGGCCAUGUUUCCCCAAACAAAAGUGACCCUCUUUCCUUGGUUUAGUUCGGUGGUGGAGACGGUCCCAUAGCUUCCUGUGAUGGGAGGGGUGGUCAGCCCAGAACCCCGUUCCUCCAUGCGAGGUGUGUCCCACCCCUCCCUAUCCCCCUUCUCUCUCCAGUCAGGCGAGAGAGAAAGAGUGUGUGUGUGUGUGAGAGAGAGAGAGAGAGAGGUUGGAAGAGAAUGGGCUGAUGGCCCUCUGCCCUGGCCAUUUCCCUCUCUUCUUUUCCUCUUCCUUGCUGGCCCGUCUAAGCCGGCGACCAUGCCUUCUCCCCCAUACGUCCUUUCAAUCUCCCUCCGGCUCUCUCUGCCGCACGACCCUCCUCCCAAGGUCUCCCCGUUGGCGCACAGUCUCUCUUCCUCCGCCCUCCCUGUUCAUCACUCUCAGCCGCCACAGACCACAGAUCCCUUCUACGAACCUAGCGUUUAUGGCACGUUGAUCUCGCGGUAACGAAACCUGUCAUGAACCAAAAUGAACCAUGCUAAAAUAUUUCAUCAGUACGAUAAUUUUAUGCCUAAGUUUUAAAGAUAGGCACGAUGGAACUCACGACAGUGACGUCAUGAGAGAUACGAUUCAUGAGCAAGUUCACUUGAUGCCUGCGACCCCUACCGUUGAUCCACUACGAGGGCAGGAAAUGAACGAUCAAAGAAGUCCAGAAAUCUAGUUUUAAUAUAUGCAUAAAAUUGAUGCUAUAGACGACUAUUGCCCGUGAGAUUAUUCAUACAGAUGACUCAGUCGAUACUCAUGUUAUAAAAACUCGUAUGCCACAUUAACCUAAGUAAGCGCAGCUGAUGCAACACGAUAGAUGCCGGGAUCGACUAGCACGUAUUACAACAUAAGGGACAUCCGGAUUCUUAUGUGCAGUGGAAGUAUAUGAAAAUCACAAAAUUAAUGUAAGGUAUAGAGUAAGCCACAGACAGACCCAGGGCGAAACUUGAAUAGUUCAACGAGCGUAAAUCUAGGGAUGCAUCAAGCCCCAAUGAUCCAGUAAAACGACUUGAAUGCCGACGGAGGGCACGACUAUUGGCCGCAAACACCCACACUGGUAUGGUGCGAGCGAUACAAAUACAGUUCCCCCUCCCAAAAACAAAUAGACUUACCUCUCGACUCCACUUCCAAAUCCUAUAAUAUCUAAUCCUCGGCGGUGGAGCGCGCGAUGAAAACACUAGAGAAGAUAAUAAUACGCAUUAAGAGGGGGGGGGAAGGGGUGAUGAUGAACCUGCAAGUUGGAACCCAGAGGGUCGCUGGCAAUGUAGUUCCUCGCCUGUGGGAAAGGUCGACUUCCGAGGACCGUGGCAGCUCCAAGAUCGAUUGCAGGGGGGGUACCAUAUGCCGGUGGGCAGGACAAGCUCAGGCAGGGGAAAAAAAAGGGGAAAAGUGCACUGGGCCACGGAUCUAGCCACCUAUCAAACAAUGGCGAACAUCGGGCCGGUAACUGGCAGAUGGGGCAUAGGUGGUUGAUUCGGUUGCCGAUGAGAUGCCGGCUGGUGGUGCCGGCAGCAGCUGCUGUCGGCAGCUGGGAAUGACGUUGGCGGCCACAAGCAACAAUUUCUGAGGCCAGCAGCGGCCAAGUGACCAAUUACGCGAUGCAGGCGGCGGCAGCUACGGGUGGCACUGGUAAUAGUUGUGAAUACUCUGCCUAGCUAGAUAAGGUCCUCUAUGAAUGGAGGGGAAGUGGGAGCUUAGGCUAAAACAAAACGUCCAAAUAUUACACAUACUUGAAGUCUAGAUCUUUCGCGUCAGCUCUAACAUCAUGGUGCGGCUGGACGCAUAUUCGUGUCCGAUCUUCACGAACCUAGAGUUGAGCCUUGAGAUGGUCCCCCAUCAGCAGCACUCACGAGCGCAGCGAAGCGUAUGUGGUUGUGACGGCGGCUACCAUUCAGUCACUUUCUUUUUCGAUCGGUAAAUUCGGAGGAGCCGAAAUGCGGACGAAAUGAACCGGCGACGCUGGGCUCUACUUACGCCGGGAGGAGAUGCGCGAGCGCAGGGGUUUUCUCAUGACCAUCGUGAACUCGCGUAUCUCCGACAGGUCGACCUCGCCACCGUCGGGCGCCUCCCACCGGAACUCCCCCACCAGGUUGGCCACGAAGAACUCCAGAUGGUGCAGCGCCAGGCCCAUCCCGGGGCAGAUCCUCCGUCCCACGCCGAACGGCAUCAUCUGGAUCUUCUUGCUGCCGGUGAUGUCCACGCCCUCCCCCUCGCUGCCGGGGAGAAACCUCUCCGGCCGGAAUUCCAGAGGAUCCGACCACGUUUCCCCGUCCAGGUUCAUCUUCCCCACCGCGAAGUUGAUGCUGGCGUCCUUGGGGAUGGUGUACCCGCCCAGAGAGAUCUCCUCCGUGACGGCGUGGGAAAGAACAAAGUGACCCGGCGGAUGGCGGCGGAGCCCCUCCAGGACCACGGCCUUCAGGUACGGUUUCUUCUGCAGGUCCUCCUCCUUCGUGAUCGCGCCAACUUCCUCCACCAGUUUUUCCUGCACGGUAGGGUGCUUGACUACGUUCGCCAUUAUCCACUCCAGCGCCGUGGAGGUGGUGUCGGUGCCGGCGUUCAGGAACUCGG
rnacentral:lncRNA from 1 species